rnacentral:rRNA from 1 species
UACGGAGGAGGCAAGCGUUGUCCGGAUUUACUGGGCGUAAAGAGCGCGCAGGCGGUCGUUCAAGUCGCGUGUGAAAGCCCCCGGCCCAACUGGGGAGGGUCACGCGAUACUGAUCGACUCGAAGGCAGGAGAGGGUAGUGGAAUUCCCGGUGUAGUGGUGAAAUGCGUAGAUAUCGGGAGGAACACCAGUGGCGAAGGCGACUACCUGGCCUGUUCUUGACGCUGAGGCGCGAAAGCUAGGGGAGCAAACGGG